rnacentral:rRNA from 1 species
CAGUCGCCACGGUAAUACGGAGGGUGCGAGCGUUAAUCGGAAUUACUGGGCGUAAAGCGUACGCAGGCGGUUUGUUAAGUCAGAUGUGAAAUCCCCGAGCUUAACUCGGGAACUGCAUUUGAAACUGGCAAGCUAGAGUCUUGUAGAGGGGGGUAGAAUUCCAGGUGUAGCGGUGAAAUGCGUAGAGAUCUGGAGGAAUACCGGUGGCGAAGGCGGCCCCCUGGACAAAGACUGACGCUCAGGUGCGAAAGCGUGGGGAGCAAACAGGAUUAGAUACCCCGGUAGUCCCUGUCUCUUAUAC